rnacentral:rRNA from 1 species
CCUCGGCAUACUGCCCAGUAACACGUGGACAACCUACCCUAUGGAGAGGGAUAACCCCGGGAAACUGGGGAUAAUACCUCAUAGACUAUGGAUGCUGGAAUGCUCUGUAGCCAAAAGGUCAGCCGCCAUAGGAUGGGUCUGCGGCCGAUUAGGUAGUUGUUGGGGUAACGGCCCAACAAGCCUGUAAUCGGUACGGGUUGUGGGAGCAAGAGCCCGGAGAUGGAUUCUGAGACACGAAUCCAGGCUCUACGGGGCGCAGCAGGCGCGAAAACUUUACAAUGCGGGAAACCGUGAUAAGGGAACUCCGAGUGCCCGUUAAAUCGGGCUGUCCAUCUGUGUAAAUAACAGGUGAAGAAAGGGCCGGGCAAGACCGGUGCCAGCCGCCGCGGUAAUACCGGCGGCUCGAGUGGUGGCCACUAUUACUGGGCUUAAAGCGUUCGUAGCUGGUUUGUUAAGUCUCUGGGGAAAUCUUCCGGCUUAACCGGAAGGCGUCUCAGGGAUACUGGCAGACUAGGGACCGGAAGAGGUGAGGGGUACUCCAGGGGUAGGAGUGAAAUCCUGUAAUCCUUGGGGGACCACCUGUGGCGAAGGCGCCUCACCAGAACGGCUCCGACAGUGAGGGACGAAAGCUGGGGGAGCAAACCGGAUUAGAUACCCGGGUAGUCCCAGCCGUAAACGAUGUGCGUUAGGUGUAUCGGUGACCACGAGUCACCGAGGUGCCGAAGAGAAAUCGUGAAACGUACCGCCUGGGAAGUACGGUCGCAAGGCUGAAACUUAAAGGAAUUGGCGGGGGAGCACCACAACAGGUGGAGCCUGCGGUUUAAUCGGACUCAACGCCGGAAAACUCACCAGAUAAGACAGCUGAAUGAUAGUCGGGCUGAAGACUCUACUUGACUAGCUGAGAGGAGGUGCAUGGCCGUCGUCAGUUCGUACUGUGAAGCAUCCUGUUAAGUCAGGCAACGAGCGAGACCCACGCCAACAGUUGCUAGCUCGUCCCC